UAGGGAAUAUUAGUAAUGGGCGAAAGCCUGAACUAGCAACACCGCGUGUGCGAAGAAGGCCUUCGGGUUGUAAAGCACUUUUUGAGAGGAUGAGGAAGGACGGUACUCUCAGAAUAAGUCUCGGCUAACUACGUGCCAGCAGCCGCGGUAACACGUAGGAGGCAAACGUUAUCCGGAUUUACUGGGCGUAAAGCGCGUGUAGGUGGUUUGGUAAGUAGAGCGUGAAAGCUCCUGGCUCAACUGGGAGAGGUCGUUCUAAACUGCCGGACUAGAGGAUGGUAGAGGGUGGUGGAAUUCCGGGUGUAGCGGUGGAAUGCGCGGAUAUCCGGAGGAACACCAGUGGCGAAAGCGGACUCCUGGACGACUCCUGACACUCAGACGCGAAAGCUAGGGUAGCAGACG
rnacentral:rRNA from 1 species